UCUUGUCAAAUUGAUGGCUUAAUGUCAUUGGGUUCGGCUCCCCGCCGGUUCAAAAUUUUUCAAUUUUCUCCGGUUUUUAUCCGGAUGCCUCAUCUUAAGCUCUCUGCCUCUCUACCUCACUCAACUCAAGCCCACUCUCUCCGAAUAUCCCUCACUCUCUCUGCCUCACUCUCACGGUCUCACCUCACGCAUGCCUCUGAAUUUUUUUUUUUCCUCAUCAUCCUCUUGGCGUCUGAACUCUGGUGUUCUAGGUUUUUUUUAUUUUUUUUUUUUCAUCAUCAUCCUCUUGGCGUCUGAAAUUUCGAUCUCGCCCUUGCCCUCGGAGCUCUGCUCUCUGCUUCUCAGCUUCAUCAGAUUCUCCGUUCAUGUUCUCAGCUUCAUCUCAGGUUCUCCGUUCUGUGACUUCACUGGUAAGUGGUAACUUGAGAUAAUGAUGUGGCUUUGAAGAUGAAGAAGAUAAGAAUGAGGAUGAUGAUAAUGAUGCUAGUGGUGGAGCAUUUGGUUCACAUGAUGAUAUUGAUUUCAAUUUUCUUCGUAACAAAUGAGGCUUGAGUCUUAAAAUUUAGUAGUUGUUUGUUUGAAACUUUAAAAUUUAUUUGCUAUUUGGAUGUAAUGAACUUAUUUGUUAUUUGUUAUUUGGAUGUAAAUGUAAUGAAUAAUGAACUUAUUUAUUUGGUUUUGUUGAAA